ACGCUGUUAACUCGGGACCACAGAAGAGGGGCACUUUCAAUUAUUCGGACAGGAUGUCAGGUGCUCAGGCACACCCAGCCAUACUCCUGCUGGCUCCAUAUCGUAUAGCCCUUGCUCCAAUACCUUGUACCAUUUGCCUCGUUUACACGCCACUUUGUGUCUGCAAAAUAAAUGUCUUUUCAUAUGUAAGGAAUUGCAAGAAGGUCUGCAUUCUGGGUCGUACAAUUUGAUCAGUUCAGUUAGAAAAGCAGGGUCCUGAAUAAUUGCAACCUUGAAAGCAAGCGUGUUGCAGCAUGUCUCCCAGCGCCUCUGACCGCAGGAAUAGCGUGGCGUGCUGUAAAUGCGGGACCUCGGUAAACAUUAACUUAUGGCUUGUGUUGUUCUAAGCUGCAAACACUGGCGGGCACAGUAUGCACCCGUGCAGAUACAGCCCCGAAAAUGCUAGGCGAAGAGAGAUUACUUCAGAGUACGAAAAGCGCCGCUCCCAAGCAGCGGAGCUGCGUUGCCCCUGAAACCUGACACCACCACAAAGCAUGCAUGAGGCCCAUUACGAGGUUUGUUAAAUUACAGUCUGAACCACACAGCCCCAAAGAGGGUGGUGACAGUGACAGCCAGCAUGCUGCAGGACACAGUGGGGACUGUCAGUGCAAAGAGGGCCCCCCUAACCUGCUGAACCAAGCACAACAAAGCAGGAAAUGCAGAAAAGAAAAACACUGAUGCUCAAUCACGAGGAGAAAAGCAGACAACUCAUCUUGGAGGAGUUAACCAGGUACACAAACUCGUGGGACCCGUUACUUUCCGCUUCACAG